AAAGAACAAAAUUUGAUGCGAACUAUCGCUUUCUCUCAAUUUCAGUCACAAAGAGAAGAAGGGCGAUCUGAUUCGCCAUCGACGAAACAUGAAACCCAUGUUUUUCAAUUUUCUAGGUAUACGCAGCUUUAUUUUAUUUUUUAUUUUUUUCUAGAUUUAAUGUUUCUUAUUCAAUGUUUGUCUUCCAAUGGAUUCUGCAAUCUUAACUUUACCUCUGUUUUAGUAACCCUGAAAUCGAACUAGAUCUAAUUUAUAUGCUGUUCAAAAGAGCUCCUUUUAUCCAUCUGAGAGAUGUUAGAACAGGAAAGGUCAAACCCUAAAUCGUGGAAUAUGGGUUUAGCUUUUGCAACUUUGUUAAAUGUCGAUUGAUAAGUACCUAAGGUUUGUUUGAACACUUGUUUUUGUUAUGAAACUUAGUAUGAAAUUUUCAGCCCUGUACAAGGAUUUUUUUCUUAGUUUAAUAAAUGAGUUUUAUAUUAUCAACUAAUUGGAAAUCAUUGUUGGGUAUAAUUUUGAAGUUAUUAUUACUAUGAAAAUUGAUAGACUUAUUAUACAUGACGUUUCGAAUUCCUCUACACAUACAUUACUUUUUUAAACUUAAAGUUCAACGUUUGUUUUGUCAAAAUCACAUUUCUCUUUUGCAAACGGGAAUUUCUAGGCUGUGCUUUCAUAUAAAUCUUAACAUGUCAGAUGUCUGAGUUUGUUCAUGCAAUAUUAGAUUGCUCUCGCUGUGCUGGAUUGCAGGUAUUUUCUGCUUCUUCAGAUGACGAACAUUGAGUUUCUACUGCCCCCUGUCUGUUCUUUAUAGAAAUUGUGGAUCUUUAUGAUUUCGAUGAGUAAAUUCAAAUAUUGGACAUUGGCUGGUUGAUGUUUGACACAUGGAUGUUUGUUGCGUGCUAUCAUCCAGUCCCUUAACAAUCAAAAGGAGUAUCUGCUUAACAUGGUUUUAUGGUAUUGGUUGUUAGAUGGUACUCACACUGCUGUCAUUAAAUAUCGUUGUUCAUGUUACUUCAUGUGUUGGAUGCCUACUAAAUAUCACGGUAGCAAAUAAGCUGUUUACUGUGAAAAAUCUAACCUUGGAAGUCAUAAUGACUCCAAGAUAAUAUGAACUUAAAAGAAUUAGGAUUUCCUUUACCUAGAAGUCCAGAUUGAUUUGAGUGAUAAAAGUUGUUCAAAUGGCUAUACAGAAUACAAUUUUCUGCUUACAUGUCUCACCAUAUUAUCAAGGAAAUAAAUGAAGUUCCAAAAAAUUGAAUAUAUAUGCUCCUAGGCAACUUGGCUAAUUGAAAACAAAUGUAGUUCUUUCUGUUAAGAAAUUUUAAUUGAAUGAUGAAACUUGAAUAAAAAAAAAUCAAGUGAAAUAUGUUGCCAUGUAGCUGGAGGCAGCUUUCAAUGGAUAAAAAUAGACAGUUGCAUUUGGGACCAUUUGGUGAGUUAUGAGUAAUACUAGCUUGGAGUUCUCCAGUUUUCCAGUUUUCCCGUAUACCUUUUUGUGUAGUCUUUAGCUUUAUGAAAAUAUCAAACUCGAGUGUAGUCCAUAACUCCAUUGCCUAUCUAGUGUCGAGCCAAAUGGAUACUAAAGUUUUAUUCUCUGACUGAGCUAUAAACAUGCAAUGGCUACAUGGUUAAGUAUAUAAAAGAAAAGUAACUAACAGUCAGAAGAAGGCCAGGUUCAAUUUCAAGACAUUGAACAAUUCUGGCUUUAGAAGUCAUAAUAAGAACAUAUACUUGCCUUCUUGUUUUGGUGACUCUUAAACUACUUUUGAAGUGCAUCAUCAACUUUAUCUACUUCAAUUUAAGGGAGUGUACACCCUCAUUUGCAUACUUUAGAGACAAACUUUAGAGGGGGAUUCUGGCGUAACGAAGCUAUAGCGAUUCCAAUGAUGGAAAACCUUUUCUUUAUAUUUCAAAGACAGAAAUAUGGAGUCCAUGAACUUUCUUUAAGUUAGUCAUA
rnacentral:lncRNA from 1 species